rnacentral:rRNA from 1 species
GAUGAACGCUGGCGGCGUGCUUAACACAUGCAAGUCGAACGGAAAGGCCCAAGCUUGCUUGGGUCCUCGAGUGGCGAACGGGUGAGUAACACGUGGGUGAUCUGCCCUGCACUUCGGGAUAAGCCUGGGAAACUGGGUCUAAUACCGGAUAGGACGAUGGUUUGGAUGCCAUUGUGGAAAGUUUUUUCGGUGUGGGAUGAGCUCGCGGCCUAUCAGCUUGUUGGUGGGGUAAUGGCCUACCAAGGCGUCGACGGGUAGCCGGCCUGAGAGGGUGUACGGCCACAUUGGGACUGAGAUACGGCCCAGACUCCUACGGGAGGCAGCAAUGGGGAAUAUUGCACAAUGGGCGCAAGCCUGAUGCAGCGACGCCGCGUGGGGGAUGACGGCCUUCGGGUUGUAAACUCCUUUCGCUAGGGACGAAGCGUUUUUGUGACGGUACCUGGAGAAGAAGCACCGGCUAACUACGUG